GCUGAUGUAGCUGAAAGUAGAGCCACUGACUUGUAAUCUGGUUGGGGGUUCGAUUUCCUUUAUCAGUU
rnacentral:tRNA from 1 species